rnacentral:rRNA from 1 species
CUACGGGGCGCAGCAGUGAGGAAUAUUGCACAAUGGGGGGAACCCUGAUGCAGCAACGCCGCGUGGAGGAUGACGCAUUUCGGUGUGUAAACUCCUUUUAUAUGUCAAGAAAAUGACGGUAGCAUAUGAAUAAGCACCGGCUAACUCCGUGCCAGCAGCCGCGGUAAUACGGAGGGUGCAAGCGUUACUCGGAAUCACUGGGCGUAAAGGACGCGUAGGCGGGAUAUCAAGUCAGGUGUGAAAUCCUACAGCUUAACUGUAGAACUGCACUUGAAACUGGUAACCUAGAGUAUGGGAGGGGGAGAUGGAAUUAGUGGUGUAGGGGUAAAAUCCGUAGAUAUCACUAGGAAUACCUAAAGCGAAGGCGAUCUCCUGGAACAUAACUGACGCUAAGGCGUGAAAGCGUGGGGAGCAAACAGGAUUAGAUACCCUCGUAGUC